rnacentral:rRNA from 1 species
GUGGGGAAUCUUAGACAAUGGGCGCAAGCCUGAUCUAGCCAUGCCGCGUGAGCGAUGAAGGCCUUAGGGUUGUAAAGCUCUUUCGUGGGGGAAGAUAAUGACUGUACCCCAAGAAGAAGCCCCGGCUAACUCCGUGCCAGCAGCCGCGGUAAUACGGAGGGGGCUAGCGUUGUUCGGAAUUACUGGGCGUAAAGCGCACGUAGGCGGACUGGAAAGUCAGGGGUGAAAUCCCGGGGCUCAAACCCGGAAAUGCCUUUGAAACUGCCAGUCUUGAGUUCGAGAAAGGUGAGUGGAAUUCCGAGUGUAGAGGUGAAAUUCGUAGAUAUUCGGAGGAACACCAGUGGCGAAGGCGGCUCACUGGCUCGAUACUGACGCUGGGGUGCGAAAGCGUGGGGAGCAAACAGGAUUAGAUACCCGGGUAGUCC